UCCCUGCUGGCGCAAUGGUAGCGCGCAAGACUUCUAUUCAUCACUCAAAUUCGCAAUUUGAGUCGAUCGUGAGGCAUCUUGAGGCUGUAGGUUCGAGCCCUACGUAGGGAG
rfam:Botryotinia fuckeliana BcDW1 unplaced genomic scaffold Scaffold_113, whole genome shotgun sequence.